CAAAGCGUAGCUUAACCAAAGCAUCUGGCCUACGCCCAGAAGAUUUCACAUACUCGUGACCACUUUGA
rnacentral:tRNA from 2 species